rnacentral:rRNA from 1 species
GACGAACGCUGGCGGCGUGCCUAAUACAUGCAAGUAGAACGCUGAAGGAGGAGCUUGCUUCUCUGGAUGAGUUGCGAACGGGUGAGUAACGCGUAGGUAACCUGCCUGGUAGCGGGGGACAACUAUUGGAAACGAUAGCUAAUACCGCAGAAGAGUAGAUGUUGCAUGACAUUUGCUUAAAAGGUGCAAUUGCAUCACUACCAGAUGGACCUGCGUUGUAUUAGCUAGUUGGUGAGGGAACGGCUCACCAAGGCGACGAUACAUAGCCGACCUGAGAGGGGGGUCGGCCCAACUGGGACUGAGACACGGCCCAGACUCCUUCGGGAGGCAGCAGUAGGGAAUCUUCGGCAAUGGACGGAAGUCUGACCGAGCAACGCCGCGUGAGUGAAGAAGGUUUUCGGAUCGUAAAGCUCUGUUGUAAGAGAAGAACGAGUGUGAGAGUGGAAAGUUCACGCUGUGACGGUAUCUUAACAGAAAGGGACGGCUAACUACGUG